UUUUGUUUUUUUACUACCCUUUGGUUUUUCCCCUUUGUUCAAUUUCUUAGUGUUCUGCAUUUUUUAUUGGGGUUUUCGGUCUAGUAUGGUUUGGAUUGUGUUUGGGAUUUCUCAUAUUUUGAGGGUUUUUUUUGAAAAUUAUGCUUAGGGCAAGAUUUUCGCUAGCUGGAUCUGAAAUUGAAUGGUGUAUUCGUAUUUUUUUCUUUUUGUUUUAAAACUUGAGAUGUUUUUUUUUCGUUGUGGGUGACCUCUGUGAUAAGGUUUGGGAAAUGUUUUAAUUUUUGGUUUUUUUCUGCAUAUUUGGAUUCGGUAAUUGAAAUUAAAUUUGUUGUUUUAGUGUUUUCAAUGUUUCAGAUUUGUCUUCAGGGGAUGAGGUUAUGGUGGGAAAACAUGGUUAUGAAGCUGAAAUUGAAGCAAUUGGAGCCUUGAAGGACAAUCAAUUGCAGAAGAUGCGCAAUUGUACAAAAGAGUUCUCAUGGAUAGGGUUGCCAUGGACGUGUAAAAAAUUGGUUUUAAUGGUUUAAUAAUGUUGUUUAAGCAUACAAAAAGAUAUUCUGAAACAUGCAUAUAUUGUUGUAGUCUCCUUUCUUUGUUAUGAUUUCAUCUAUAUAGUUGUUGAUAUUACAGUUAAGUCUUGCAUGUGUUCGUUGUGUUCCUUUGUUUCCCUGGAUAUGUAGUGAUUUAGUAUGCUAUGUAAGUUUAUGCAGGUUAUGGUGGGAAAACAUGGUUAUGAACUUGAAAUUGGAGCAAUUGGAGCCUUGAAGGACAAUCAAUUGCAGAAGAUGCGCAAUUGUACAAAAGAGUUCUCAUGGAUAGGGUUGCCAUGGACGUAUAAAAAAUGGUUUUAACGGUUUAGUAAGGUUGUUUAAGCAUACAAAAAGAUAUUCUGAAACAUGCAUAUAUUGUUGUAGUCUCCUUUCUUUGUUAUGAUUUUGCGUGCUAUGUAAGUUUAUGCAAUUUUUCGUGUGUAACGAGGUCACAUGGUUAUCCUCAUUUUAAUGAAUAUUUCUAUUAUGGGCGAUGUAGGAUCGAUGUCUUAGGUUUGCAUGAAUUUUAUCUGGAUUGAAGUAUAAGUUGUUUCUCUCACCCAAUGAAGCGGCCUCUGCUGGGACUCGAUACAAUCUGCCAUUAAUUAAUUCGCUUGUGCUAUAUGUAAGGAAUGCAAGUACUUUAAAUUAAAAACUUUUAAUAUUUGCCCCCACAUUAAUGC